UGGCACGAUGGACAGGCGUGCUGCUUCUCUUUAAAGAGCAUGGAUUUAUCCAUACCGUGUGACAUGAAUGAAAUGAGAAGUUUUCAGGGCUGCCAACCCCACUGUUAAGGAUAUGCAGUAGUAUAUUUCUAAUACGGUA
rnacentral:snoRNA from 1 species